rnacentral:piRNA from 1 species
CCCUAAAUGCUGUUCAACCAUUUGAGCACC